UAAGGAAUAUUGGUCAAUGGACGCAAGUCUGAACCAGCCAUGCCGCGUGAAGGAAGACGGCCCUACGGGUUGUAAACUUCUUUUGUACGGAAAAAAAUCACCGGUCGUGAAUCGGUGUUGAUGGUACCGUAAGAAUAAGCAUCGGCUAACUCCGUGCCAGCAGCCGCGGUAAUACGGAGGAUGCAAGCGUUAUCCGGAUUCAUUGGGUUUAAAGGGUGCGCAGGCGGAAUGAUAAGUCAGUGGUGAAAUCCUACGGCUCAACUGUAGAACUGCCAUUGAUACUGUCAUUCUUGAGUACACUUGGAGUGGGCGGAAUGUGUCAUGUAGCGGUGAAAUGCUUAGAUAUGACACAGAACACCGAUCGCGAAGGCAGCUCACUAAGUUGUAACUGACGCUCAGGCACGAAAGCGUGGGGAUCAAACAGG
rnacentral:rRNA from 1 species